rnacentral:rRNA from 1 species
UGGGGAAUUUUGGACGAAUUGGGCGAAGGCCUGAUCCAGCAAUGCCGCGUGUGUGAAGAAGGCCUUCGGGUUGUAAAGCACUUUUGUCCGGAAAGAAAUCCUUGGCUCUAAUACAGUCGGGGGAUGACGGUACCGGAAGAAUAAGCACCGGCUAACUACGUGCCAGCAGCCGCGGUAAUACGUAGGGUGCAAGCGUUAAUCGGAAUUACUGGGCGUAAAGCGUGCGCAGGCGGUCCGCUAAGACAGAUGUGAAAUCCCCGGGCUUAACCUGGGAACUGCAUUUGUGACUGGCGGGCUAGAGUAUGGCAGAGGGGGUAGAAUUCCACGUGUAGCAGUGAAAUGCGUAGAGAUGGUGGAGGAAUACCGAUGGCGAAGGCAGCCCCCUGGGCCAAUACUGACGCUCAUGCACGAAAGCGUGGGGGAGCAAA